AUUGAACGCUGGCGGCAUGCCUUACACAUGCAAGUCGAACGGUAACAGGUUAAGCUAACGAGUGGCGAACGGGUGAGUAAUGUAUCGGAACGUGCCCAGUCGUGGGGGAUAACUACUCGAAAGAGUGGCUAAUACCGCAUACGACCUGAGGGUGAAAGCGGGGGACCGUAAGGCCUCGCGCGAUUGGAGCGGCCGAUAUCAGAUUAGCUAGUUGGCGGGGUAAAAGCCCACCAAGGCGACGAUCUGUAGCUGGUCUGAGAGGACGACCAGCAACACUGGGACUGAGACACGGCCCAGACUCCUACGGGAGGCAGCAGUAAGGAAUAUUGGACAAUGGACGCAAGUCUGAUCCAGCCAUGCCGCGUGAAGGAUUAAGGUCCUCUGGAUUGUAAACUUCUUUUAUAAGGGACGAAAAAAGGUCUUUCUAGAUCGUCUGACGGUACCUUAUGAAUAAGCACCGGCUAACUCCGUGCCAGCAGCCGCAGUAACAC
rnacentral:rRNA from 1 species